AGAUAGUAAAAAUUAUUUGAUAUAAUAAGAACAUCGCCUCUAUGGUUGUCCUCUGAUAAAUCAAAGCACCAGGAACAAGUCAGAAAUAAUUAUAACCGUCUCCAAAUUGUGCUAAUAUUUUAAAAUUGUUAUUAAUUAAAGGUGCUGUUUUAUUUCAGCUUCCUCAAAUGAGAAGGAGGCAAGAGGUCUGUUGAAAUCUGCUGUGGAAAGGCUUAUUUCAAGAGAUGACAUAGUUAUUCUAGACUCUCUGAACUAUAUAAAAGGAUAUAGAUAUGAGUUAUACUGUGUUGCAAAGGCACAUAAGACCACACAUUGCAUUGUAAGUAAGGAAGUAAAAUCAAACUCUUCUCUGAUAAAAAUAUGGAAGGAAAAAAUUAUGUAAGAAUUCACAAAAUCCAGACGGACAUAAUUUUUAACCCUGUGGAUUCCAAAUUGAGAGCUUAUGUAUAAAACUGGAAAUUUUAUAAUUUCUAUGUGUUUUUGUAUAAGUUUCACAUUCAGAAAAACUUACCAAAAAACGGUUUCAUUCACAAGUAAAUUUGAAUUUGCAUGUUGCUUCAAGAAACUGCCAAUCAGUAUUAGGCCCAGUCCAAACACCGCUCCACUUAUUUGCCGAACCAAACUUGAUUAAGUUCGACUUUAGAGCGACUUUGGAGUGAUGGCUGGUUCAGACAGCAUACUUGGGUCGAACUUAAUUUGGGAAGCCAGUGGUAACAAUUUUCAACGAGAAAAUAUGCAUUCUGAAUAUUCAAGAACUCUGUCCAAAUAGAAAAGCUGUGACUAACAUUUCGCUGUUAUAGCA